UGGAAAACCAGCAUAAAAGCCGGUUUUCCACUUCAAGCGUACCGUACCGAAACGUAUCAAAAACGUUUUUAAAUUUCAAAAUUUCGUGAACGUUGAUUGGUUAGUACUUCCGUAGUACGCCAAAAAGUUGACUUGCGACGAACUUUUUAUUUUGAUACGCGAAUACACCCGGAAGUUCCCGGAAGUACGUGUAUUUAUAAACCUCUUUUCAAUCUGCGCAUGCUCACCAGUACGUUUCGCUACGAUACGGGCGAAGUGGAAAACCGGC